AGUGAACGCUGGCGGCAUGCCUAACACAUGCAAGUCGAACGGCAGCAUGGUCUAGCUUGGUAGAUUGAUGUGGCGUGGCGAGCGGGUGUGUGAUACACCUGAGCAUGUCCUGUAUUGUGGGGGAAAUAGUCGGGAGAUUAGCUCUUACACCAUACGCCCUCUGCGGGUGAGUGCGGGGCAGCUUCGCCUCAUGCUAUAUUAGCGGCGGAUGUCUGGGUAGCUAGUUGGUGGGGUAAAGGCCCACAAAGGCGACGAUCCGUGGCUGGUCUGAGAGGAGGAUCAGCCACACUGGAACUGAGACACGGCCCAGACUCCUACGGGAGGCAGCAGUGGGGAAUUUUGGACAAUGGGCGCAAGCCUGAUCCAGCCAUGCCGCGUGUGUGAAGAAGGCCUUCGGGUUGUAAAGCACUUUUGUUGGGAAAGAAAAGGCUCUGGUUAAUACCGCGCGUUGAUGACGGUACCCGAAGAAUAAGCACCGGCUAACUACGUG
rnacentral:rRNA from 1 species